GACCUUUCUUGGGAGUCUCAAGCUGGCAGGCCAGUGGACAGUGACACCGUCUACCCUCUCAGUAGGAAUUCAGAAGACUGCGUCGAGGAUGACAACCACCAGCUUAUCUUCACCAUAGUCAAGGGUGGGGAGGAAACCAACGGUGGUUCUGGGGAUGGUCCAUAGUGCCACGUUACCGCUCCAGCUUCCCUACCUCUCAGGGUGGGCUUAUGUUGAACUCCAUGACACCAUGACUCAGCUGAACCCUGGUGAAGAUACCAUCAUGAAGAGUGUUUUUCACAUGGAGUGUCACUCUGCUGGCCACAAAGUCAUUUUUUAAAAAAAAAAAUAAAAGUGCCAUGUAAAUGACAUUUUAUACACACACAGACUCCAUUUUAUAAUAAAACAUUUAAGCUGCUAAUAAUUCAAUAUUGGAAUUAAAAUGUAGAAUUCAUUUGAAAAGUUAGCAGAUGUAGAUGUAAUUCUACCAAACCUACAACUUCUACAGGAAACCUGGUCUAGUAACGUUUUAUAGAUUUUCUGAUUGUUUAUGUGCGGUUUUUAAAGGUAUGCUCUGUUACUCAGUGACCUAUACUUGAAUGAGUUGUUUACAUUUCCCAUUUCCAUAACCUUUGAUCACAAAUGUCUCCUGGCUGCUUGUUUGAUCAUAACUGAAUAAAGAGAUAUUAAAACAGGCACU